GUGAAUCAUCGAAUCUUUGAACGCAAAUUGCACUCCCUGGUAUUCCGGGGAGUAUGCCUGUUUGAGGGUCGGUAGAACAAAAAUCGAAGCGUCGCUCUUUUUUUAAGGGUGAUCGCGUCGGAAUUGAUCCGCCUUUCAACUGUUAAUUCAUGUCAAAGUGGCUUGAAAUUCAUCCAUCCGGUACGAUUAAAGCGUAUUUAAGUUCAACUUUGCUAAAGAACGCGCUAUGAACGUACAUU
rnacentral:misc_RNA from 1 species